AACGAACGCUGGCGGCAGGCCUAACACAUGCAAGUCGAACGGACGUAGCAAUACGUUAGUGGCGCACGGGAGAGUAACGCGUGGGAACCUACUUUUUGGUUCGGGAUAACAUCGGGAAACUGGUGCUAAUACCGGAUAAGCCCUUCGGGGGAAAGAUUUAUUGCCGAAAGAUGGGCCCGCGUUGGAUUAGCUAGUUGGUGAGGUAAUGGCUCACCAAGGCAACGAUCCACAGCUGGUCUGAGAGGAUGAUCAGCCUCACUGGGACUGAGACACGGCCCAGACUCCUACGGGAGGCAGCAGUGGGGAAUAUUGGACAAUGGGGGAAACCCUGAUCCAGCCAUGCCGCGUGAAUGAUGAAGGCCUUCGGGUUGUAAAGUUCUUUUGGUGGGGACGAUGAUGACGGUACCCACAGAAUAAGCUCCGGCUAACUUCGUGCCAGCAGCCGCAGUAACAC
rnacentral:rRNA from 1 species